rnacentral:lncRNA from 1 species
ACUGUUCAGCUCCCAGUUAUCCAUGAGAACAGGGAAUCUUACCAGGACAUGCCCAAGUCUCCUGGAUCCAGCCCCAAGUCUCAUCUUUCCUCUUAUUUGUCCACCAUUUUGCUUGAUCCAUAUGGUUUUCAGGUGCUGGUUCCAUGGCUCUUCCUGAGCCGAAAAUAAGGAAACUCCAUAGACCUUGUCCACUGGAACUCGUUCCCAUCUACCCUCCACUCUAUCCAGGGUGAUGGAUCUCUGCAGUAAGUGGAAGAGUUCUUCAUGGCCCCCAAGGUUAUAUCCAUCUAGAACUUCAGCACGUAAUUUCAUCUGGAAAUAGUGCCUUUGCGGAUAUAAGUUAGGUAAAACUGAAGAUGAGAUCAUACUGGAUUAGGAUGGGAUCUAAAUCCAAUGAAAAUGUCUUCAUAAAAAACAGGAAAGAACCCAUAGAAACACAAGGAAGAAGGUCAUGUGAAGAUGGAGGCAGAGAUUGGAGGGAUGCAGCCACCGGCCCAGGAAUGCCAGCAGCCACCCAGAAGCUGGAAGGAAAUGAGGGAUUCUCUCCUAGAACCUUUAGAGAGAACAUGGUCCUGUGAACAGCUUGAUUUUGGACUUGCCCAUAGCUUGUAUACUCUUACUUUGGAUACAAUUUUAUCCAAACUUGGCUAAACAGUUUCUCAGCCUAUGGAAAAUUUAAAAUGGAGAAGAUUCAACUCGAUUCUUACAGAUUCAAAGCAAGAAAAUGAUGGGAACAUAGGAGGAGACCAAGAAAGCCUAUAAAAAGCAAAAAUAUGAAGUGAACAUUGUGGUAGCUUUAAGAUGUUUAGUGUAGCUGCAGGCACCCUAUACACAUGAAAACCCCCAAGGGGAAUCCCCAUAUCACAGUGUAGUGUGAUAUUUGACAUUCGUGAUCAUCUAGAGAUGUACAGAAAAGGUGAAUCUGUGUUCUGUAUAUUCUGCCUAAGGCAAAGAAAUGUUUAGCUCUCUUUAAAAUAGUUCCAUAAUUUUUUCUAAAAAGCUUUGCUUGAAAACUGUAAGCUUCCCAUAUCUGGAGCAUUUCACUUUAAAUAUUUGGAUAAAUAUGUUAUCUUCUUACUUGGACAUUUCAUGUGUUUAGGGAUUGUCUUCUAAAUUCUUCCUAAUUCAUAUAGCUGCUAACACUUCCCGCAGAGCUAAACCAUUACAGAUAUGAAAUAAAGACCUAUUGAUUU